rnacentral:rRNA from 1 species
UACGUAGGGUGCAAGCGUUAAUCGGAAUUACUGGGCGUAAAGCGUGCGCAGGCGGUGGUGCAAGACCGAUGUGAAAUCCCCAGGCUUAACCUGGGAAUGGCAUUGGUGACUGCACGGCUAGAGUGUGUCAGAGGGGGGUAGAAUUCCACGUGUAGCAGUGAAAUGCGUAGAGAUGUGGAGGAAUACCGAUGGCGAAGGCAGCCCCCUGGGAUAACACUGACGCUCAUGCACGAAAGCGUGGGGAGCAAACAGG